GCCACGCCCCCUUGGGGCGGGCCGAGAGGCGCCCGGCGGAGGCGGGGCUUGGGCGCAGGGACGCCGCGGGCGCAGCUGGGCGAGUCCCGCCUCCUCCCUCCGCUCGCUCUGCUAAGCUUCCAAAGGGAGCUGGACAAGUGCCCGCCAUAUUUUCUCACUGUCGUUGUCCCUGCUUACUGUUCACUGACAAUCCCUGUUUACUUUCCUGAUCGACUUUCUCCGGAGAAAUAACCACAACUGUAAUGUCAGGGGACAGAUAGUCACGGCCAGUGACGGCAGCCCAAGCGCCUCUCGCUGAGGUCAGUCCCUUCCACUUCCACACCUGCCUCCCGCCUGGAGGGCUUCUCCACACCCAGGCCCUGCCUGCCGCCCGCUCCCACCUGGCCCCGCCACUAGGUGUUGCGACACAGGUGAUCCCUUAAGAGCUGGUGGGUGGGGGAAGACCCACCAAGGCCCGCCCCCACCAGCAGGUGCUGAGCUAGAUAAGACCCUGCGAACUGGAGGCCGAAAUACACUCUGCCUGCCCAAGCCGCUCCUGAAGCUAAGGAGCAGCUGACUCGUACAGCUAGCCGUCUUUAUCUUCUGUGGUCUCCAGGCUGCCUCAUCCCCACUCUUCCUCACCAGGCCCAGAGGACAGCAGCCGCGUCAGCGCUCCGCCCUCUCCUCUCCACGCGGUUCCGUCUCCUUGCGUAUCCGAUUCUCCACGGGAACCUCAGGAUUUCUGCACACUCUGCUGCUUUAGAGCCCUGCUCUCCGAUUCAUCACAAACAACGUGAAGACACAGACGAGUCUGGAGAGGAGACAGCUCCCCUCAUUUCACCUCUCAGAGCUCUGCGGCUUCCAGAACUGAGAUCUGAAACACAACUCUGCUGUUCACAUCUAUACAAGCACUCUGACAUCGAAAGGGGAGGCAGGGUCGCAGGCGCCCAGAGAUGGGUCUUCCAGUGCUAGUGGUGGAUUUCUGUUAACCCUUUCAAUUCUGCAAGACUAUGGGUUACUCUCUGUGUUAUAAAAAUUUACAUAAUCAGGU